UACGUAGGGGGCAAGCGUUGUCCGGAUUUAUUGGGCGUAAAGAGCGUGUAGGCGGCUGGGUAGGUCCGUUGUGAAAACUCGAGGCUCAACCUCGAGACGCCGAUGGAAACCAUCUGACUAGAGUCCGGAAGAGGAGAGUGGAAUUCCUGGUGUAGCGGUGAAAUGCGCAGAUAUCAGGAAGAACACCCGUGGCUAAGGCGGCUCUCUAGUACGGUACUGACGCUGAGACGCGAAAGCGUGGGGAGCAAACAGG
rnacentral:rRNA from 1 species